rnacentral:rRNA from 1 species
AUGUCCAGCUUGCCGGCGAAGCGGCCGGCGACGGUGUGGAGCAGGAGCUCGCGCUGGUCGCGCACGGAGACGUCGCAGACGGAGCCCGUGACGCGGAAUCCCCUGGCCUCCCACUCCUUCAAGCGCUCGCCGAGCUCGGCUUCCUUCCGGGAGCACGUGUGCACGGCGGCCCCGAGCGCCGCCAGCUCCUCCACCACCGAGCGCCUGUACAUCAAGCGCAGAAAACCAUCUGAAGCCGGGACGAGAUCUGAAAAGAAAGGGGCGCGGAGGGGUGCGUACGUACCCGAUGCCGCGGGUGCCGCCGGUGACGAGCGCCGUCCUGCCGUGGAGGGACCACCUCCCCGCACUGGAGCCGAUGAUGUCGUCUACCGCGGCCAUCUCCUCCUCGUAGAGCCGAGCUGA